UGCCAGGCGGGAGGAGAGGAAAGGAGCCGCCAGCGGCUCGGGCAGCGCGUUGCGUCUGGGUCUCCGGGGAUGGACUGGGCUUCGCCCUGCGUCUCAGCCUGCCCGCGGAGAGGAGGGCGGUGAUCGGCCGCCCAGCCCGCCAGGGAGGAGAGGCACCCCCGCCUGCGCCGAGGGGCCGGCACGACCCUGCUGACGCCCGGUUAAAUGUCACGGCUCGCCGUCCGCUCCCCGCCGCCGCCCCGCGCAUCGCUCACCUCGGGAGGGGGCUGUGAAGGUGGCGGCAGAGGCAGCCUCGACUGCGGCGCGCCCCGCUGCCGCUCGCCGUGAGGGAGCGCCCAGGCAGCCGCCAGUAAGUGAGCAGUGGAGCUGGAAAACUUGGCAGAACUCUUUGUCUUUCCUGCUUGUAUCUGUGGAAACUGGUUUGCAAGAUUGAUAUGAAGAUAAACAGUUUGAAUGAGGGAAGUAGUGGAGGACUUUCACCACAGGUGUGAAAAAUGAGCAGUGCCAACCUGGUGCAGUGAUCGUCUCUAGGACUUGAACCCACUAAGUCUUAAGGUUAAUUUCAAGCAUUCUCAGCGUGGUGCCGUGAGAGAUGCUGUUGUCCAUGAGAGGCUGGGAUUAUCAUGAUCAAGUGCUGUAUUUUGAUUUCAUCCAGUGGCUGAGAGAUUUGUGGGGUAAAGAGGAAGUACUGGACUUUUAAAAGUAUUAAACAGGCCCGUGACGGAGGGUUAGCCCAGAUCAGUGGAGUCAUGCGUCACACAGCUCUGUCAUGCUGGCAGCCGUUCCUGGGUCUGGCUGUGCUGCUAAUCUUCACAGGCCCCACCAUGGGCUGCCCGGCCCGCUGUGAGUGCUCGGCACAGAACAAGUCUGUCAGCUGUCACCGAAGGCGUCUGAUGUCCAUCCCAGAGGGCAUUCCCAUUGAGACCAAAAUCUUGGACCUCAGCAAGAACCGACUGAAGAGCGUAAACCCUGAGGAAUUCACAUCGUACCCUUUGCUGGAGGAGAUUGACCUCAGUGACAAUAUUGUCUCCAAUGUGGAGCCUGGAGCCUUUAACAAUCUCUUCAACUUGCGCUCCCUCCGGCUGAAAGGAAACCGUCUGAAGCUGGUCCCCCUUGGGGUGUUCACUGGGUUAUCAAACUUAACAAAGCUUGAUAUAAGUGAAAACAAGAUUGUCAUUUUGCUGGACUACAUGUUCCAAGAUCUGCAUAACCUUAAAUCGUUGGAGGUUGGGGACAAUGAUUUGGUGUAUAUAUCACACAGGGCCUUCAGUGGGCUGCUUAGCUUGGAGCAGCUCACCCUGGAGAGAUGUAACCUCACAGCCGUACCAACAGAAGCUCUUUCUCACCUCCACAACCUCAUCAGUCUGCAUUUGAAACAGCUCAACAUUAACGCUUUGCCGGCGUAUGCCUUUAAAAGACUGUUUCGCCUGAAAGACCUACAGAUAGAGGCCUGGCCCCUCCUGGACAUGCUGCCUGCCAACAGUUUGUAUGGUCUCAAUCUUACUUCUCUCUCCAUCACCAACACCAACCUGUCUGCGGUACCUUAUUCUGCUUUUAAACACCUGGUUUACCUGACACAUCUCAACCUCUCUUACAACCCCAUUAGCACCAUCGAAGCAGGCAUGCUGUCAGAUUUAGUGCGCCUGCAGGAGCUCCACAUGGUGGGGGCCCAGCUGCGCACCAUUGAACCACACGCUUUCCAAGGGCUUCGAUUCUUACGUGUGCUUAACGUGUCCCAAAACCUGCUAGAAACCCUAGAAGAGAAUGUAUUCCAUUCCUCCAAAAGCCUUGAGGUCCUCUGUAUUAACAACAACCCUCUAGCCUGCGACUGCCGUCUCCUCUGGAUUUUGCAGCGGCAGCCCACCCUGCAGUUCGGGGGUGAGCCACCAAUGUGUGCUGGCCCAGACAGUGUAAGAGAGAGGUCAUUCAGAGACUUUCACAGCACAGCUCUUUCCUUUUACUUCACCUGCAAGAAACCCAAGAUACAAGACAAGAAGUUGCAGUACCUGGUGGUGGAGGAAGGGCAGACAGUGCAGUUGAUGUGCAAUGCUGAUGGGGACCCGCAGCCUACCAUCUCCUGGGUUACCCCACGCCGGAGGCUGAUCACAACUAAAUCAAAUGGUAGAGCCACGGUGCUGGGAGACGGCACCCUGGAGAUCCGAUUUGCUCAAGACCAGGACACUGGGAUCUACGUCUGUAUUGCAAGUAACGCAGCUGGGAAUGACACCUAUUCAGCCUCCCUUAUGGUAAAAGGGUUUACUUCAGAUCGUUUCCUUUAUGCCAACAGGACCCCUAUGUAUAUGACAGACUCCAACGACACAAGUUCCAAUGGAACUAAUGCGAACAGCUACUCUCUGGACCUUAAGACAAUAUUGGUGUCCACAGCUAUGGGCUGUUUCACAUUCCUUGGAGUGGUUUUAUUUUGUUUCCUUCUUCUUUUUGUUUGGAGCCGAGGGAAAGGCAAACACAAAACCAGCAUUGACCUUGAAUAUGUCCCUCGCAAAAACAAUGGUGCUGUGGUUGAAGGGGAGGUUUCUGGACCACGACGGUUCAAUAUGAAAAUGAUUUGAUGGUAUUCUGCUAGCAGUGCUUUUUCUGUGGCAUUAAAACCUAUUAAAACAGCCUGGCAUGUGGAAUCGCUAGGCAAAAGCAGCUUAAUGCAGCUGUCAGUGUAUCAAAAGGUUGUAGGAAAAUGGAAAGACUAUUUGUGGUUAUACAACAGAGCCUCCAGACCUUGAGGCAGAUGUGUCAGGGCCUUUCAUAGAACUGGGAAAUUGUACUAACUGUUUGCAUUGCAAAUAUUGGCAUUCUGGGGAUAUCAGCAAUGAACCACUGGCUCAUGCUCAUGGACAAUUGUUCAACAUUUUCUACUGCUACAAAAGAAAAAAGAAAAAAAACAAACAAAAACCUACAGUGUAGGAUUUACAUACUUAAAGAAAAAGACACAUUUGUCUAAAACAUACUCUACAGUGACAUUUGUAUCUAUAUAUCUCAUUUGGUAAAACUUUGCAUCCUCCCUUCUAGUUGGUUCAACACUACAAAAAAAUUAGUAGUUUUUUUUCUUUUUAAUCUACAUCUAUACUGUGUACAUUUUAAAGCAAUACAAAUGAGAGGUUGUGCUUUUAGAUAUCCACCAAUACUGACCCAAGUGUGAUGUCACCCUUCUUUUAACUACCAUCAAACUUAAAUUAGAUUCUUGUAGUUACUAAUUAGAAAUUACAUAAGGUAUUUUUCUCCUCAUGUAGAAGGCCAGAGCUGAAUAACUGAGAGUAAAAACAAUCAACUCUGUCAAUCUUCUCUUCGUAUAAAUAUAAGGCAUGUGCCUAGUUUUGAUACAGAAUGGAAUAUUUUUUAUAUCUGUGAUAUCACACUGGACCAGUUUACUGUAACAUAGCCCUGGCUCUCACCCAGGGAAGGCAACCCACUAGUCAAUGCUGGCAUAGAGGAGUUGAGUUCUACCUUGAAGAGAGAGAAUCGGUUUUGUUAGCCCUGAUUUUAAUUUCAAAGCUACUGUUAAAAUGUUAAUGUGUACCGGGCAAAAUAAAGAGCAUAAUACAUUCUGCAGACUCCUUGGGAAAGAUGGUCAUCUUACUAUUUAUACAAAUGUAUUAAAACAUACAAACACUCUGCUACUAGGAAUGAACUCUUCUCCAAUGCCAAGUAAACUACAGUUGUUCAUGCAUAAUAUGGGGAUUAUAAUACUAAAAUAAUGAUUAAAACAUGAUAGCCUCAAAAAGGCUAACAUACUGCCAGAUAUAAUGAACCUCUAGCCACUGUCAUUCUCAUCUUGUAUAUUUGUAGAUAACACACAGACACAAAGCUAAUUUCCAAGAACAGAUUACUUAGCUAUUCUUGAUGCCAUUUUAAUAACAAUGUGGUUAUGUUUCUUUCAGGGGCAGUAUCUUAGAGCAAGAGGGGUGAGUUAUUCCAGAUUUUAGAAAUCAUUUUUAAUGGAGAGAAGUCAGAAGUGAAAUAUUAGUUCAGUACAAGUAACCUUUUGUUUGUUUGUUUUACAUCUCUAAACAAAUUAUUGAAAGACUGAGAACUGAAACUUUAUUCUUAAUCAUUAAUAUCACUAUUCCUAUUUUGAAAUUCUCAGCAAUUGCAAGAUAUGAAGUUGUUCAUCACUUCUCCUUUUUCCAGCAAUUAGGAGCCAUAAGUUUGUCCUACAUGGCUGAUAACAAAUACAAUUUUUCAAUGAUUGGCAUAACUCGGAGUAAGGAUAACAAUGACUAUAUAUAUAUAUUUAAUCAAAAAGAAUAUGAAAAUAUUAUAAGACAGAACAUUUGGAUUACUGUGAUUUAAGAGCCCAUGUUCAAUCUUAAUAUUAGAUUUCAGCACUUUGAAACCAAAGUCAGGCUGACCUAUAAUGGAAUGCAGGUGCUUCUAAAAUUAGUAUCCACAUUCUUAGGCAGAGAUUUUCAAAGCAGGAUAACAAUCUCCCACUCCUAUCAAGGGAAAUGUGUCAGAAGUUGUAAAAUCCAGCUGUGCUCCCCAAAUGUACCCAUAACAAAGCUGCAGGACCCAAGGCUAGACAAUUUUGAGAAUCUCUUUUCUUAGUGGUUGAUAUUUGGUUGCAUCGUUGUUCCAUUUUAUGUUGCCAAACUGAGGAGGUUGCAACAGUUGUUAGAAUUUUGUUCACUUAAGUUGAUUUUAAGUUUAGAGCUGGGUUUUCUUGCUUCCUUUUUUUUUUGCUCUGAACUAGAUAGGUGAAGAUUUAUAGAGAUGCUUGAUCAGAAUACUCUUUGUUCUACGACAGUUUGUAGAACAUUAAAAAAAUGGAAUAACCCCUGACUAAAUUCUAACACCAGGGAAAUUAUUUUUGUUGAUGUAAUAACCACUGCACUGACGUCCAAAACUCUACUGUACCUUAAUGUGGGCAGUUAAAGAAACAAAUGGGGAUAAAAAAAAUGUUUCUGAACUGUCCAUUGAAGACAUUUGCAUGUGCCUUUCCCUUGUAAUUGUCAUUUUUUCAACUAGUAAUCCAUUGCCCCUGCAGUCAUUUCAUGUUAAAUGUUGAAAUCAAUGUUAGAAGCAAAAAGUCUCCUAAGUUCUAGACAUUUGCAGCUGAUUUCUUCAUAUUAAAUGACACAAUGAAAAAAUUCUGAAAAAAAAAACACCCUAGAAAAAAUGUACUUUUAGGGUUAAUUAUGAAUUGCUGUAUUCCCUUACUCCCUUAGAAUGACUCUAAGAAGUGAUUGCAUUGUUAGUGCACUGCAAGGAUUUGUGAGCAGAAAUAUGCUUAGUUACCUAUGUGAAAUGUGUGCUGGUGAUGAAAAUCACCACUUGCUGUUGCUGAGCACCACCUUGCAGAUCUGUCAACGUUCUGUGUAUUGCCUUGAGUUCAGUCAGUAUUCAGUUUUUCAGAAUCAGUGUUUGCUUCCUGCCUCUAGUGAUGUUCUUCUUUUUGCAGCCUACUUAUUUCAGCAUGGACUUGACAAGGCAUAUGGCAUCUCUUAACAGAAGUGAGGACAGCAAGACUCAGAGACACGCUUUUUAUCUUGCUCCACGCGGUCUCCUUUUUUAUGUAUCUGUGGGGCACACACUCACUGUGGCUCUUUUGGGCGGAUAAGGAAUACAGUGCCAAGGUCGCGCCUAGAUAAGCACCUUUUUGGCAAUUCUUUUAAGAACAGAAUGGCUGAAUGCCUACGUGCUUCUUGAAGGAGUCACUUCUACUUCUCUGCUAGAGAUCAAGGGGACACCCCAGUUUAUUUUACUGCAGGGGAGAAAAAGGACUGGGCUGUAAGGAGGCAUCUGACCAACAUGGCUCCCCGAUCAUAUAUUCAGAAACAGGUGGAUAGUGCACACCUGGUACUAAAAGUGGGAACAAAGGUUUUAAGCUACCUCUGACUUUUGUACAGGCUGGCCCCCAUACUGGCACAAGCCUGAACUUACCUGGCAGUCAGUGCAAGAAAACUCUGAGGAGCAGCAACAGUUCUGCAGAAAUGGAAAAAACAGAAAAUGUCAAAACCAGCAAAGGAACUUGAGAAAGCAGUUCUGCCCUCUUCCCUUCUCAGUUUCAAAUGACUGUGAUGCCAAAUGAAGAUCUCUGGAUUUGGUUAAGUUUCACUGAAUGUUCACAUGGCUUUGGGAAUCUGAUCUCAAACCAGAAUCUUAAACCUCCUUCAAGCCAAAAAUAAAAAUAAAAAAAGAAGUUUGAGUAAACCUCCUCCUGCAAGUGAAAUAAACCAACUUCUGUAAAAGCCUUGCUACUGAGAUAGCUACAUGCCAAAAGCAAUCUGCAGGGGAUUUGGGGGGGGGGUUGGGGGUUUUUUGAUUUUUUUUUUUUUAAUAGGAGCAGGUGGUUGGAUAUAAGGUCAGCUGAAAAUAAAAAUCUGUAUUUAUAGCAUCAGCAGAAUGAGGAAAGAGCUUGCAUAGUCAAGAAAAUGAUCAAUGUUAUUUCAACUUAAAUUGAAGAAUACUUUGUCUUUCAUAUUCAAAUAGGUUAUAGAAAAGUACAAAAGAACAGACUUUCACCUCAUAAUUUGAUUAUUUGUAUUUGUUCAGCAGGUACCAAAAUUGUCAUGAAGCAGUAAUGUUGAAGUAAGAGACUGAAAACCGAUUUUCUACUGUAACCAGGCAAUAUAAACCAGGAGACACCAUUCUGUUGCUCCCAGUUACACUGGAAAUUUGAUAAAUCAAUCUAGGUUUUUUGCUUUCUACUAAGCAGGCUGUAAUGGAAAUUAGUUUUAAUUAUUUCUCAUCUUGUGGCAUAUCUUUUAUUCUGAAUUGCUUUAAUAUUUACCACUGCUAACUGAGCUGGACAACAUGAAAAUGUACAUUGUGGAAAGACAAGGAAAAAAGGCAAAUGGAAAUCUGUAACCUUAAAGAAGUCUGCCUAUUUCUAAGCAUGGCAUUUGCAAGUCAGCAACACUAUCUCCUCAUAUAUAAGCCAAGAACAAUGGCUUAAAAGCAUUGUGCAUAAGCAGCUGCAUAUGCAGCUGUGGAGAUGGUUGUGAACGUGUACACACCUUGGCAAUUUUAAUCUUUCAGAAAAAAAAAUUAUGGCUUCUCAAAGAAUUCAUUUAUGACACUUCAAUACCUAAAAUCAAACAACACUUUGACGGCAUUACACUGGGCACUGUAUAAGUAGGAAGUAAAUUAUACCACUGAUCUCUUGAGCUUGCAGCCAUAAAGUAAGAAGUUGGCUUUUGAGCAAGUACACAUGAUAAGAAGUCUCUCAUUGUUUGUGGAGGGAAUGCCAUAGUGCAGUAUAUUAAAAUAUCAUCACACUUACUAAAAUCUGUUUGCAAGCACAUGUAGUUCAUAUGUACAUGUUUGUGUGUGGAAAAAAAAUAGUUAUAUUUGUUUUGUUCUUUUCUUACUUAAAGUAUUAAAUGUAUAUUGUUUUUGAAAGGUGACAAAGUUAACAAGAAAAAAUCGUGCUGUAAUUUAUUUUAAUAUAUAUGAUCAUGAAUAUGGAUGGGAAAUGAAACAGCCUUGCUGUCAUGAUCCAUGAAGCACAUGAGAAUUCAGAUUUGUCCAUAAGUUCACUUCAUGUUUGAGCAAAAUAUACUAAUAUAAUGGGGGGGAAAAAAAAAAAAAAAAGAAAAAAAGCUUUGUUUGUCAAGACAGUUGUCCUGAAUGUCAUUUUAAAAGUUACUUUAGGGCUUAUGUCAUGAUGUGUAUCAUGCUUAUCCACAAUGGAACCCAAAUAAAUAAUUCCAUGGAGUGGCAAAAUUUACUUGAAAAAGUGAAGAGAAUUUACAUUGUUUCAGCUAUUGUAGUUGAUCUUUUUUUUCCCAAGGGGUAGUGCAGGAAACUAAGAUAAGAACAAUACAGUUUUCUUAACAUCAGACCUUAGGUCUUAGUGCAAAGUCUUCACAACAAGGUGUCAUCUCAGACCUACCACUCUUGAACUGAGAAUAUAAAACAUUACACUGAGAAAAAGAAGACUCUAGCAGGUAUUUUUCAUCUACUCACUCUCCUCUUCAUUGCAUGGACCCCUCAAACACAGAGAAAAAACUAGGUCUCAUUCAAACGUGGUUUGGGGUUUAUUCUCCAUACCAAGUAUCAGUCAGCCUGAUCCCUCACUUUUACUUGUGCAGUGUGUUCAGGUAGUCGAUGGGGAUACCAAUCAGGCUAAUGCUGGAAGAAAGAAAGCCUGCCACUUACCAGCACCACAGAGAGAACAGCAGAAAGAUAGAUUUCACCAGCUGUGUCACUUGGAAAGCAACCAAUACUGAAAAUCUGCAUCUGAAACAUGGUUUCUGAGGAAAUCACCAGUAUUCAAACUCCUCUAUAACUGCACUAGAAAAAUUAAGUGGUGGAAAGUAUAAUCUGCUGAGCUUGAAAGCUAUUUCAACCCCCUGAGGCUUGCCACAAUCCACCAAAUCUACAGCAGAGAUGAGUCUGAAGAAGGACACAGGCUGUAAUCUAAACUAUUGCUACUCCCAUUUUUCCACAGCUAGGUACUUUUACCAACAGAGAAUUUUGUUUAUGCUUUCUGGGAUAAUCUGAAAUAAGAUUUAUCACCCACGAACCAAUUAUAUUCUAAACCAGGGUCUUACUCACUAGAAAGGAAAACAGUUGUUAGUGCUACCUCAGGAAUUGAAGCAGCAGCUUGAAAUCCUGAUAGAUUGCAGAGAACAUAGACAGACAGGGGCUGAACAGACAGGGGCUGAAUCUGAGCUCUCUUGUGCCUCCCGAAAUCUGUCUUAUCCUUAUGUAUUUGCCUUUGACACCCCAAAAGAUUUCGGCUGACUUGCACCACUGUACCCUCCUCUGCAGCAGAAUGUCAAAUGCAAGGAAUUUUUUGGCUAAAUUUACUAUUGAUUAUUUUAAUAACCUACUUUAUUAAUAAUCUUUUAAUUUCCUUUAAUUUUUUAAUCUGACUGGCAGUCUAAUAUACUGCAAUACUGCCUUUUGUAUGACAUGAAAAAACAGCUAUUGCACCCACCCCUGGAUUGAGAACAUUGACUUUUUUUCCUCAAAAGGUUCCUCCACUCUAAGAUUAAGAUUUCUUUUAUGCAAUUAUAGUUCAUUUUUUGGACUACUGACACUAUAUCAAGGGGUGGAACCUGUUCCUAUAUCAUAAGAUCUAUUGAGCAAAUUCCAGUUUUACAGUAGAAGAAACUACUAGUUUUCUCCAUGAUAACCAGGUAGAGAAAAACACCAUCACUGACAAACUCAUUAAAACUGAAAAAAAGAAAAAUAAAAUUAGAAUUGUAAUAUCUAUGGGUAACCUAAAUGAAAAACACCACUUCAGAUUUUUAAAAGCAUCCAAAAUUUUCUACAGUACACUCACUUUCAAAAAUUUUUAAGAAUAUUUAUACUUAUACAGAUCCACUAUAGAGGAUUUGUCACACAGUUAAUACCCCUGUAUUAGAUACCACAGAUACCUUUAAAUAAACAAAUCUUUGCACCUAAAGUUUAUUUUAAGAAAUGCCUAGGUUUAAUAUUUUUAUAUUUUAAAAAGUUAAUGGGAAGUGGGAAAUCACAUUACUUACCAAGUAAUAAACACAAUUCACAAAUACUGAGUUAUUCUCACGUGGGGGAAUGCUCACAGUGAAUUUCACAGUCAUAAAACUUUCCCAUAUACAGUUGUAGAUGACAUGCUAUAGAAAAGGGCUUUGUUCAUCUCCUGCACUAUCUGGACUGGGGGAGGAGCUGGUAAUUCAGGUACAAAUAAAUCUGAAAAUACUGGAUUAAGAAACAUAGAGUUAUUGCAAAGGAACUGAUCUUUCUGUCUACUGACUCAGUAGCAGUCUGGGAGUUUUGGCCUAAAUUCCUUCUUUCCUAGAUAUAGGGAAUUCCUCAUAGAAAGCCUUAUUUUGCCUCUGUUCUUGGAAAGGUAAGCUUCAACAUUAGUAAUCAAUGGGUAAUGAAAUACAAUAAUUUAGUAAAAUACAAGAUCGGAUAGUAGAGAAGAAUAGGAAUUAAAACUUGUGUAAAACAUUAUAUUACACUGGUACUUAGCACACCGUCUAAGUAACUCUGAAAUUAUUUGGGUUUGCAGGAUCUCAUUUAUUAAUUAAUAGCUAGGGGAUGCAUUCAGCUAGUUAAAGCUGUAAUCACCAGCUAGAAUAUCUUAUUUACCUCAUCAGUCCCUAAGUGGAAGUUAUAUUUUUCUGAGCUAUUUUCCAAUAACUUUCCUAUUUAUAUAACUCAAAAGCACAAGUGAUGGAGAGCACACUUAUUUUAUUAUAGGAAGACAAUGAUAGUAAAUUUAAUCUAUUACUUUUGCUAAGAGAGUUCCUUGCUGUAUGUACAAAGAUUAAUAGAUUAUAUAAAUUAUCUAAAUUAUUGCUAUCACUGAAACCAAACAACAUCUCACUUUAAGAAUCUAUCAACCUUUUAUACAUCUGUGCAGUGCAUCAGUUUUAAUGCACUGGAAAUAAUACUUUGCUUUCAUAUAGAACAGGCAUGCCACGUAAAAGGGUUAGAGACAAUGCAGCCAUCUGAGUUACACAAACGUUUGCAUUUUAAUGGGCCUUAUUGAAUUUUUGUCGGCUUUUUGGCAGGCUGUCACAUUUCACUAAAGUAUAUCAGAUCAUCUUUGCCUGGCUUGAGGAAGAGUUGUCAGUUAGUAACACAAGCAGAAGGCUGGAAGUCAGGAUUUCUUGGCUGUAAUCAAAACCCCUAGGCCUCUAACUCUCUGGAGAAUACAAUAAUAAUAUUUAUUUUUCAAGAGGAAGAUUCUGCCAUUUCCCUAAGGAUUAUAAAGCCAAAGAGUUAUGGUUCACCCAUGCAUGUGUGAGGAAUGAUAAUUCUGAUGAAGGUUGGUAUGUGGUAAUAGGCAGUGUUAUCAGGCAAAAAAACGCUUUUCUAAGAAAUGCAACCCCUGCUGCCCGAAGUGCUCCAGAGGAGCACUCCACUUGGCAAUGUAGUGACAGCAGUGGUCUGCCCUGUAGUCAGCGUUUCCAACCAUUCCAAAUUAAAGACUCUUGUAGAGCAGUGGCAGUAUAUAAAAGAAAAUUGUCAUGAGAUAUGCACACCAACUAGACUCUGUCUUUUAUGCAGUUCAGUGGUAUAUUGCAUGAAAAGACCUCUUAAUGCCUCACUUAAUUAGUGGCUUUGCAAUGCUCAAAAACAUGAUUAUUUCCUAAUCUAUGAAGAUUUGUCUCUUUGCCUUUGAUUAUAGAUGAGAAAUGCUGAAAUGAAUGCAAACAACACAUCAACUGUCAAGUGUCACAUCAAGCAUUAAGAAUCCCACUACAACUACGAAAACAUUUCUCUUUGGUCCUUAUAUGAGACUACGCAAACUAGGUCACAUAGUUUCUCUACUCUCUAGCCAAAAUUUCUUAAAAGAAAGCUAACAUUUCCACAGGUUCUCCAACUUUUUAAUAGAUAAAGUAACAAGCAUACACUUUUCAAAUUACUGUUGCCAAUGUUUAUCAUAGGGAAUUUGUCCUGACACUACUCUGUUUCCCACAACACUGAGUCGUGGCCAACCUCAUCUUCAUCUUUUAAUCAAGAAUGUUUUGCUUACAAACAAGCCAAACACUUGGAACUUCCCCAUUCCCAGCUUCUGCUUUAGAACUGAAGCCAGAAGACUUUGCUGUGAUGUCAGUGAAGCACAUUUGAUAGUUAAUGACUGGUUACUGCCUUGCAUCCAGCAGUCAUUGGGAACUAUUUCUGAGGUAUGGUUUUAAUCUGGCAUGAUUAAAAAUAGCAACUAGUCCUUGGGAACAAGAUUAACCAGUACAUCCAUUUUGUCAUUCAAGAUCAUCAACUCAAGACACUGGAAGGUGUGUUCAAGUCAUUGAAAACAGAAGGAAGUACUUGCUGGAUGUGCAUGUCAUCUCAGAGAACUGUAAACAAAAAGGCAUGUAAGAGGUCAAGUUCUCCUUUAAGUGUUAAAUUACUGAAGCAGAAACCCAAACCACUGCAAACAGUAGGAGGUAAGCAUUAAAAAAAAAUAAAAAAAAAUAAAAAAAAACCAAACCAAAACAAAAAAUACAUAAGAAUUUUGCUCUGGUGGGUUUUAUGGUGUAACAAU